rnacentral:tRNA from 1 species
AGGGACAUGGCUCAUUGGUAAAGCACAUGCUUAGCUUGCAUGAGGUCCUGGGUUCAAUCCCCAGUACCACCA